rnacentral:lncRNA from 1 species
UUUUCAACCCUCGGGAGUCGUGAUGGCGCCAACUAUUAGGAUCUAGGCAAGUCAGUUAUUUAUUACCUCUUUUAGCAACACCAACAUUAUUAAAACAACGAAACAUUUAAUAGAAACGCGAAAGUCUUAAAUAUAAAUAAACUAAAAACAAUGCGGAAAUCCAAUAUAAUUCUACCCAAGAACUGGAGUCACAAACUCACGAACGUCUAGAGAAUGCUAAAUACAAUGUCUAACUAAAAACAUAGUUCUGUUCGUUCUGGUACAAAGAUAACAAACUAAAAGAAAGAUAGAGAAGACUCCGGGCCUAAGAUAGAGGAGACUCUGGGCCUACGGACGUCAGCAAGGCUACCUCGGUAUCUCUGGACUGAAGUCAAAUCUCAAAUCUCCUACUGCUGUCCAAAAGUUGCUCCGGCUCUGUGAUCUGUGCAAAAAGAUGCAUAGAGUAUACAUCAACACAACCGACCCCAUGUGCUGGUAAGUUCCUGGCCUAACCACGGCGAAGUAGUGACGAGGCUAGACCAGACUACCAAACAAACCUGUGCAGUUCAAUAUAUAUAUAUAUAUAUAUAUAUGUGUGUGUGUGUGUGUAUGUGUGUGUGUGUGUGUGUGCAAGUACAACGAAAUAACAGCGGAAAGUAAAUAACUAAAGCUGGGAGGGGGACAUGCUUAUGGGGUAGCAGAUAAAAAGAAACAAAAUAUUAGGAAUAACAAAAGAUACUACAUCUGAUUUCUUCUAACACAGAAUAAGGGAAAAACAAAAGACUUUCACUUGUUUCAAAGUCCUCUUGUUGCAGGCGUGCAAUAUGAUCUCAUUUCCUCAUAUCAUGUGGUAGGAGUACCGCACGAUCCCAUUUCAUAAUAUUACGGUGUAGGCAUACCACACGUUCCCAUUUCAGGAGGGGAACAUGCUUGUGGGGAAGCAUAUAAAAACAGAAUAUCAAGAAUAAAUAAAGAAACUACAUCUGAUUUAUUCUAACACAGAAUAAGGGAAAACAAACCACUUUCGCUUGUCUCAAUUUUCUCUUGUUGUAGGCGUGCAACACGAUCCCAUUUCCUUAUGUCACGUGGUAGGCGUACCACUCUCUACCAUUUCAUAAUAUCACAUGGUAGGCAUACCACUCGAUCCCAUUUUAAUAUAUCACGUGGUAGGCAUACCACUCGGUCCCAUUUCAUAAUAUCAUGUGGUAGGAAUACCACUCGCUCCAAUUUCAAUAUAUCACGUGGUAGGCGUACCACUCGCUCCCAUUUCAAUAUAUCACGGAGAAAUCCCAACAAGGGAGUAAAGUGACAAAUCCGGCAAGGGAUCAAGACAGCAUAAAAAAAAUUUCGUCAAGGGAACAAGAUAUCAACUCAACUAUCCCGGCAAGGGAGAACUAUCCCGGCAAGGGGGUUACAGUUAUAAAAACUUAUUCAAUUUUUACUUAACAUAAUUAAAUCAAUGCUCAGUCACAGCAAUUACUUGCUCAGUUUUGAAGAUUUCUAACCAAGUUCCCAUAAGCAACAAUUAAGAAUACAAUAAUUUAGCAAUUUUGGACACACGGUCAUGCUCAACCCCUAACAUAUAGAUACUUGUCACCAUGCCUAUACGUCGGACACAUCACGUAGCAAGUAACAAGUAAGACUCACUCCUAAUCCCUCAAGCCAAAGUUAGACCGAACACAUACUUCAACUUCCAUGGUUAAAUCAAUCCAUAAUGACCCUCUCAAAUUCGGCUCCAACUCAAUCAAAUCUAUGAUAUAAUGACUUUACAGCAUCAAUAUAAGCUAAACAAAUCAAACCCAAUGCCUAAAUAUAGUUUUCUAAGCUUUCUUCCCAAAAUUCCAAAAAUCGACCACGGGCUCGUUUUGUCGAAACACGGGGUUCGGACAAAUUCAUGUCAUCCAUUUCCCCACGAGCCUGAAUAUACAAUUUAUUUUCAAAUUCGACCCCAAAACGAGAUCCAAAACAAAGAAAAAUUGAAAAUCCCUAACACUACCCGUUUCCAUUAAUUUCAACCCUAAAUUACAUGAUUUGAGCCUAGGAAUUUGAUAAAUGAUGAAGGAAAAUAAAGGAAACAAGUUAAACAAUACAUACCCAAGAAGCUUUGGUGAAGAAGUGCUCUAAAAAUCGCCUAGGGGCUGUGGAGAAGAAGAGCUUGUGUAUUUUUGUAAAAUUUUCCUGUCACUGUUCUGUUUUUAGGCAUUUAAGAUAACUGGGCAAAAAUGCUCUAUGUGAUCGCGGGAAAGGCAUUGCGAUUGCAUAGAGUAAAGACUAUUGUGCAUUGCGAUCGCGAAGUGAAGAAUGCAUUCGCAUAGAAGAGAAAGUAGAGGCUGGGUUUUCAUGCAAUGCGAUCGGGAGUGAGGAAUAUGGUCAUAUAGAUGGAUUUUUGGGCACCUUAAGUUUGCUCUAUGGAAUCGCAGCACCUCCUAUGUGAUCGCAUAGAAAGAAUCACUGGGCACAGACAACAACUAUUUUCUCAAACUUUUCCUAUGUUCAAAACACUCCAAAACACCUCUGAAACACUCCCGGCCCUCGGGGCUCCUAACCAAACACACACACUAACUCAACAAUACCAUACGAACUCAACCAAGUGAUCAAAUCGCCAAAAUAACAUAAAAACGAGGAAUUAAAUCUAAAAAUCCUUACUUUUCCAUCAAACUUCAUAAACUUCCAUUUUUAGAUAUUUAGGUCUGAAACACGUCAAAUGACAUCCGAUUUCAACCAAACUUUACAGAAACUUCUUAAAUCACAUAUAAGACCUGUAACGGGCACCGAAACCAAAAUACGGGCCCAAUACAAAUACUUUCCAAUCCAUUUCCAUUUCAAAUUUCCAAAUUAAUUUCAGAAAAAUAAUUUCUUUUAAAAAUUCAUUGCUCGGGCUCGGGACCACAGAUUUUAAUUACGGACAUACGCCCGAGUCCUAAAUUUUUCAAUGGACCCUAAGGACCGUCAAAUCAGGGGUCCAGGAUUGUUUACCUAAAAUGUUGACCAAAGUCAACUUUACUAGUAUUAAUAUCAAAAUUUAUCAUUUUUUCACACAGAAUUCCUAUUUAAGCUUUCUGACUAUGCGCUUGGACUGUGCACGCAUAUCGAGGCAACUGAAAAUGAGGUUUUCAAGGCAUCGGGAGCACGGAAAGAGAGAGAAAAUAGAUGAUGACUAUCACACCUCCUCUUUUACUACACCCGCAAGGGCGUAAAGGAGUUUUUCCACUUAAAGUACAGUCGGAAUGGAAUUUAUUAUUAAGAUUUCAGAGUCUCCACUUGGGAGAUUAAUGGCGUCCCAAGUCACCCGUUGAACCCCUAACCGAGGAGAAAUAUGACUCUGUUAACAGCCCACGAACCAGAAAUCCAAGUAAGAAAUUUUGUUAACCCGGGAGAAGGUGUUAGGCAUUCCCUGGUUACGUAGUUCUAGCACGAUCGCUCAACUGUUGCAUUUGAUUUUAUCUGAUUUCGAAACAUAUUUUAGCUUAUGUGCUUUUUAUUCGUAAAUCGCUUUUAUUAUUAUUUUAAUGAGAAUUGCAACAUUCUAAAAAUGCGUCUCGAACCACGUCACAUCAAUGCACCUGUGGCUAUUGACACAUUUCGACUCCGUUGAGAUUUGAAUUUGGGUCACAUGAAUGUGCACCCGAGUUUAGGAUUGUAAUUUUAUUAAAAUCAUGCCUAAAGUGUCUACCGCGUUAUUAUCUUUUGGGAUGGACGUGAAAUUCGCUAAACAGCCCAUCCUGAAUUUUUAAUAUUUUUAAUUAAGCAUCGAAUGAGGGCCCCGUUAUUUUCAUAUUUAUUCAGCGAGGCUCGUCUCAUUUUAUUUAAAGGCCAAUCCUAAGAGACUAUGAUUUUUCUAAUGAUUUUGUCUCUAAAAAUACAUAAAAGCCCUAAUUAAUUAAAGUAUUUGAGGAAGACAAAUCCUUAUGAUUCAAUCUUAAUUCAGUUAAGUCCGAUAACAUAAUAAGUAAAAACAGAGCCUUAGCAAUUCUCAUUCGAAACUAUCAGAUUGUGUUUCAUAAAACUAAUUGGACGCCUAUAGACCUGGGCCCAGACCCAAACGUAUACACACAAGGAAUUAGACCUGGGCCGCUCGCUGAGGUAUACCUUUCCAUUGUGCAGAUAAUUUACUGAGCCCAACCUACCAAAUUAACCAAUCUUUUAUUCAACUUGUACAGUUUUGUACUGAAAUGUUUUUUCAAGCUGUUUUGAUCGAAUCCCAGUGAUGGUUAUUGCCUUGGUUCCAAUUUUUAUACUCAGACCUACGUAUUAUAAUACAUUCUAUUGCUUUAUUCAGAAAAUGUCAAUUAAGCUGAAUCACUAUUAGCUAAAGGAAACUAUCACAUUCAUAAGAUAAUUUAACCAACACUCAAAUACUAACUCAAAUACACGCAUCAGCUAGAUUUUAGGCAUCAUAUUGCUCACUCAAAUACUAGUUGCUAACCGAAAUUUACUCAUCACUAAUUGCUAACAGAACAAAUGAAAUCCACUAACAUGCUAAAAUACAGUCCAAAUAGCUCAUGUAGUCCAAAUAGCUCAUGUAGUCCAACUUAUAUAAAUAAUUUGAAUGAAAUUAAAAUAAAGCAUGAAAUCAGGAUAAAGCGUGAAAUUCAUAAAUCUCUUCAAACAGCACUUCGUUUCAUAUUCAAGAGCCUAAAAAUUACAGCAUAGGUACAUGGAUUAUCAAAAUACAAUAGGAAGAAGGAGUUAGCAGUAGCAAUACAAUGCAGCAGUAUGAAGAAAUCAGCAACAGCAGAAAUAAACAAUCAGCCAGGAAUAAUGUUAAUGAUGCCCAAUAUACGAUUAAACACCAAGUAGAACAGGAAAAAUCAACCACAACAGCUUGUUCAAAGCCAAAUCUAUUGGGAAAAACACCAUACCACUUCAAUGAACCCAAAUCCAACUAAAAUAGCUUGAUUAAGACUAAAACUAUUCGAAAUCAAACCAAGAAACAUCAGUGAAGCUUCAAAAUUAGAAGAGAAGAGAAUUCAGCAAAACUAACUCAGAAAAAUCAAUUUGAUAGUGCUUUUUUUUGUGUGGAUAUUUUCUAUUAUUUUUUGGGGUUUUGGAGUUUGAAUUUCAAAUCCUAAAUCUGAAACUUGAAAACACACUUUGGGGGGAAGUUUUGGGCUCCCAAAAACUUAUUUAAAUUAGUAGAAUUCAAUGCCUUUUAUAGGCAAAAUAAGGGACUAGAGGUUUCUAGAACUUUUCACUCAUUUUCCCCCCAAAAGUAGCCUCCUACCCUUCCCCAAAUAAAAUCUGAAAUUCUUCUUCACUUCCUCACAUGUAACAUCCCCCAAAGACUAUUCCCUCGCUAUUUACCCUGCCGUGAAAAGCGAGUAUGGGCCAAGUGACCCAGUUCGAACGGGCCAAUUGCUUUCAAACCAAAACCCAAAUCCCUGUUUGUUAAUCUGAAUUCCCAACUAAUAGGCCAAAGAGCUCGAAUCAUACUAAAGAAGAAUAGCUAAACUAAACUAAUGCUAAUUAAAGAGGAUCCUAGAACUAAAAUUAUUACUAGACUAAUCAGAACAGUAAACAAAGAAGUUCAAGACAAACAAUUAACAUAAUAGGCGGAAACAACUAAAUUAAAAAAUACAUAAACAACCAGAAAGUGAUGAAUGCAAAAUGAACCAUCUGAUUAUAACAAAAAUCAGAAACCUACAACUAGCGUUUUGAAUUAUGGACGAAGAACACAGAACAAACAAGAAAAAAUAUAGGAAAACUUACUAGUUAGGCUUGAACAUAAUGAACAACUCUGUUUGACCUCGAAAUGACAUAAAUCAUCGAUUCUUGUGAUGAACAGAUGGAACACGUCAUCUCGAAGCGAAACAAGCUGAGGAUUUUUAAGGAUGAUUUUAGUGCGGGUUUUCCGAUUUUAAGCCUAGGACCUGAAGCUUAAAUUGAAACUUGAAAGCCAUUGAGGAGAUUCGGAAGAAACGAGAUAGAUAUUAGGAUGAAGGGAAGGAGGUGGUCGUUGGGUGUUGAUUUGGUGGGGAAAGGUAGUGGCCCCGCCAGGCACGGCGGAGGAACUCAUGGCAGUGCCCUAGGGUUUCACUGAUUUGAGGCUCUUGGGUGGGAUUUGAAGUGUAAAAGAUGGAUAUUCGUGGAUAGGAGGUUGAGAGGAGUAGGUGGUAAAGUUUUGAGUGCCAUUGGAGGUUAACCGCCACCGUGGGGCUAUUUUUGGCGUCGGAACCGGCGGAGGGAGAUGAGUACGAGGAAGAAGGACCGGUAUGUCUCUAAUG